rnacentral:rRNA from 1 species
UACGUAGGGUGCGAGCGUUAAUCGGAAUUACUGGGCGUAAAGCGUGCGCAGGCGGCGAUGUAAGACCGAUGUGAAAUCCCCGGGCUUAACCUGGGAACUGCAUUGGUGACUGCAUCGCUCGAGUAUGGCAGAGGGGGGUAGAAUUCCACGUGUAGCAGUGAAAUGCGUAGAGAUGUGGAGGAAUACCGAUGGCGAAGGCAGCCCCCUGGGUCAAUACUGACGCUCAUGCACGAAAGCGUGGGGAGCAAACAGG